CACAAGAUGACGACCGGCGCACGGGUGCSCACCGCGUAUGGAACCUGCCUUGUACAGGGGAAUAGCCCAGGGAAACUUGGAUUAAUGCCCCGUAGUACCGUGACCCGGCAUCGGGAUACGGUUAAAGCCUUCSGGCGGUAUAAGAUGGCCAUGCGUCCCAUUAGCUUGUUGGUAAGGUAACGGCUUACCAAGGCUACGAUGGGUAGGGGCCCUGAGAGGGGGAUCCCCCACACUGGUACUGAGACACGGACCAGACUCCUACGGGAGGCAGCAGUGAGGAAUAUUGGACAAUGGAGGAGACUCUGAUCCAGCCAUGCCGCGUGCAGGAAGAAUGCCCUAUGGGUAGUAAACUGCUUUUAUACGGGAAGAAAAAAGGGUACGUGUACUCUACUGACGGUACCGUAAGAAUAAGGACCGGCUAACUCCGUGCCAGCAGCCGCGGUAAUACGGAGGGUCCGAGCGUUAUCCGGAAUUAUUGGGUUUAAAGGGUCCGUAGGCGGGCCGAUAAGUCAGGGGUGAAAGUUUGCAGCUCAACUGUAAAAUUGCCUUUGAUACUGUUGGUCUUGAGUUAUAGUGAAGUUGCCGGAAUAUGUAGUGUAGCGGUGAAAUGCAUAGAUAUUACAUAGAACACCGAUUGCGAAGGCAGGUGACUAACUAUAUACUGACGCUGAUGGACGAAAGCGUGGGGAGCGAACAGGAUUAGAUACCCUGGUAGUCCACGCCGUAAACGAUGGAUACUAGCUGUCCGAGGCCUUGAGUCUUGGGCGGCCAAGCGAAAGUGAUAAGUAUCCCACCUGGGGAGUAC
rnacentral:rRNA from 1 species